AUGGCAAGUAUUCUAUAUGUAUAUACAUAAACUUGUGGUUAGAGCUCGACAACUUAUGGUUACAGCUGGCCUCUGUAACUCAAUUGGUUAAAGCGCUUCACCGGAAUCGUAUAUGGGCCACAGAUUCGAUUCCUGCCAGGGACCUGUAGUUGCAUUUUUCGCAGCUGUUUCAGAUUACGUCUAAUAAAUGUAUAUAAAUUUCUACUCGAUAAUUUCCAUCAACAAGACCCUGAAUCGAGUGAGAUGCCAACAAAAUAUCGAAAUUGUUUUCAUAUAUACACUCGGUACAAAAAAUACUUUUUAAAUUUUAAGAUAAAACAUUUCCUAUUGGUCUGUUCGCAGACACAUGCAUGCAGUAUUAAUACUAUCACACGAGAAUUUG